AUGCACGCUGGCGGCGUGCCUAAUACAUGCAAGUCGAGCGAACAGGCGAGGAGCUUGCUCCUCUGACGUUAGCGGCGGACGGGUGAGUAACACGUGGAUAACCUACCUAUAAGACUGGGAUAACUUCGGGAAACCGGAGCUAAUACCGGAUAAUAUAUUGAACCGCAUGGUUCAAUAGUGAAAGACGGUUUUGCUGUCACUUAUAGAUGGAUCCGCGCCGCAUUAGCUAGUUGGUAAGGUAACGGCUUACCAAGGCAACGAUGCGUAGCCGACCUGAGAGGGUGAUCGGCCACACUGGAACUGAGACACGGUCCAGACUCCUACGGGAGGCAGCAGUAGGGAAUCUUCCGCAAUGGGCGAAAGCCUGACGGAGCAACGCCGCGUGAGUGAUGAAGGUCUUCGGAUCGUAAAACUCUGUUAUUAGGGAAGAACAAAUGUGUAAGUAACUAUGCACGUCUUGACGGUACCUAAUCAGAAAGCCACGGCUAACUACGUG
rnacentral:rRNA from 1 species